GUUGGAUCUUCGGAAGCAACGCAACGGAAAUCCAAUUCCUACUCAACGACAAACAUUCCACUUCUGCAGUUUGCCGUUUUGAGCUGCUGAGUUUUGUGGGGGCUGCUUACAUGCAUCCCAUCCACGAUGCCGCACUGGAGCGAAGUUCGUUGCCCCUGUAAACCAACCCGACACCUAGAAAAAAGGCGAAAGAUGAUCGGAGCAAGACAAAGGAAUGACUGAGCAGUAUGAUAGAGGCCGCGUACUUAUUGCGAGCCCUCCAUUUUCUGCUACAUAGUCGCUAAUCUAUCGUCGUUUCCGCUAUUAUCGCAUCGAAGCAUCAACGCCUGCUCCACUCUGCUGCUCACCAUUAUCUACUACGUGCGCCGGUAUGCACCUCAUCUCGCCUCUACUAUACACAUGUAUUUGCGGAUGUCAUGUGUGGCGGUAUGCACAGAUCUGCCUCUAGUGGACCUCUACAGUAUUACUCUGAGCACAGAUAUAUAACCUGUGCUGGUAGAAGAUUAGGAUCGUGAUAACCCAGUGUUGAGGAGCUUCGACUCAGGAGCUCUGUAGGGUUUAGGGUUGGGUAUGAAGAUUCAUGCCACCGUUUUGGCAGAUGUAUUGCUUGCCAACCUUUGGAUGAUCGGUGAUUUUGUGGAAUAUUGAAAUAGCUCAUACCGCCAGAUUGUGUCAGUUCGGGGCCAUCGUUCGAGAAUCGGUUUCCUCAUGUGGCAGCCACGGAGCAGAUAUUGAUGAAGUACGACCUCCGCACAGUCGUCGGUUUCAGAAUAGGACUACGCUGCACUGUGACCGGUUCACGAAUGUUUGGCAGGGUGGUUGUCCUUGGUAGCGGUUAGAUUUAGUAGUUUGGGUCAAGGGGAUGCAGUGAGUGAAUGCGUAGCAUCGCUAUCAGAUCUCGUUCACACACAUACACAGGCUGUGUCACAAUUCGUCUGUCCUGGUGUUUUGGUGUUGCGUGUUAAACGCAUGUGGAGGCUGAUCCUGUCUGAAUUUUGUGCUGGUGUUGGUGCUUUCACCGGCCACAGUGAAUACUUCCUAGUAAAUCUGCUCUCGAUACGAUAAGCCUGAUAUUGUAGGCAUCUUCCGGCUUUUCAUCAUCGACACUGCCGCCGUGGGGACUUGACACGGCCAGGUUAUAAUCCUGAGGAUACAUUCCACUGGAUCAAGCCUGCCAGGAAAAUCCAAGAAUUCAUGAUCGUUUCUCGCAUGAACUGAGGUGAUGGUCAAGCUUGUCGUACCGGAUCCUUCCACAUCAACGGUACCGAUGCAUGAUUCAUAACUGUCACUCAAGGGAGUUCUGAUUAAGGAUUACAAACUCUCCUUGCAGACGAGGAAACGAAAGAAUAGACUUGAUUCGAUUGGGCUAUUCUUCGGGAGAUAUGAUAUUGUUUCAGAUGUUGAGCCUACAUGCGACUCGUACGAGAAAUGUAGCUUGAACUGCAGAUGAGUAUUGAACUUUCUAUAAUUGAGCUUCGGACCAGGCUGCUUCCUCUCGGGAAGUUGCAUGUUGGUGCUGUUGUAAAGAUGCCGCCACGUAAUAGUUGAAGCAUGAGUAGCCAGCGACAGUAGAAGUAUGCGGUUCAGAGGGGAUUCAUUCGUGGGAAAUGGCGUUUGGACAGAAUUUCAAUUUUUUUUGCUUCCUCUAAUUGAACCUCCAAACCAAGCCUUAUUCCCCGCAGCUAUGAUGGUGCGAUGAACAAGGUCAUUGGUGCUUGAUUAAUUGUGUUGCAUAACCUAAAUAUGACUUUGACUAUUGGAUCGAUGCCGUGAGCUGGGCGCUGUCCAAUCAAAGUGAACUGAUGCAGAGUUGAAUGAUGACACCACCGACUACACGCGCCUUCUUUAGUGAUCAGAUUUUCCGGUCCAAUCUAGGGAAUCUCUCGAAGCAACACUAAGCUCUGUUGUGAGAAAUGCUGUGUGGAUUCAAUUCCUAGCUUGUCGCGAAGCUUCAGACCAGGAUAUAUUCCUUUCCUCCAAGGUGCAUGUUUUUACCCCUAAUAACAAGACUCUUGUUAUUCUCAUGAGCAGGACCGUGGGCUGCGCAGAUCAUUUGGAGUAAAUUUGUGAAGCUGAAUGAAACGUUUUCGUGGGGAAUGACGUGUGGCCCGUAGCCAUGUAUCUUGGCAUGCCAGAAUUAUGCUCCGGACCAGGCUUCAUUCCCCUCGGCAACGUUGCAUGAUGGUAAUUAUGUUCACGAGGCAUUCUAUCUUUGUUUUGUCAGAUAGACGCCCUGUUUGAGAGAAUUAUGUUGAUGGAAGAGUACCUGGAUAAUGUUUCGGUGGCCAUGCCGCAUGGCUCAACACUUGUGCCUUGGCCCGAGUCUCCAAUCAAGGCUAUCUUUUCUUCCACCUUGACAGUCGAGGAAGAUGGACCCGAGUGCUGCAGAAUAGAAAAUCCAUGCUCAAACUCCGUAAGUGAAGAUGAAGUCUUGCUAAAUUCAGUUGUCCCUACCCUGACCCAAGCAACAUUUCUUAGAUCUGAAGGGCGUGGUUUGAGAACUGAGUAGUGAAUUGUCACAUUGUUUACAACGAUGUUCUUGAUCUUAAUACUAUACCCUGUUAUAAGAUACACCGAUCGUCUUUACUCCAGUUUAUAGUUGGUUGUAAGUUCAUCUCCGUGUUAUUGUGACCCAGCAUAUCCACUAACCUAGUCCGAUUGAAAUUUGCAGAACAGCCGAUGUACUUUCACUGUCGGCAUAAUGAUUUUCAUUUCAUUAAAUGCUCUGCGUCAGAAUGUGUUUGGGAUAUAGACCGUCACAGGUUUUUCAAAUUUCCGUUAUAGUGCAUGCUGGUGUUCAAGACACUUUUUUAUGAGGGACCAUGAAUAGCAGGCUUAAACAGUGUGCAAUGUAAACAAGACGACUUACCAGUUUAACUCAAUCACUCCGAGGAUAUCAACUUAAUAGUGCUCAACUUUGAGUAGAAUUUAUUUCAUAUUGUACUUCUGGUGGACACUGUAGCCGCUGUGCCUUGAACAGUUCAAUUAAAUUUACUAACACUGACAAA